CCUACGGGCGUCAGCAGUGGGGAAUAUUGGGCAAUGGGCGAAAGCCUGACCCAGCAACGCCGCGUGAGGGAAGAAGGCCUUCGGGUUGUAAACCUCUGUCUUUGGUGACGAAACAAAUGACGGUAGCCAAAGAGGAAGCCCCGGCUAACUACGUGCCAGCAGCCGCGGUAAUACGUAGGGGGCGAGCGUUGUCCGGAAUUACUGGGCGUAAAGGGUGCGUAGGUGGCCUUUUAAGUUGGAUGUGAAAGCCCCGGGCUUAACUUGGGUGGUGCAUCUAAUACUGGAGGGCUAGAGUGCAGGAGAGGGAAGCGGAAUUCCUAGUGUAGCGGUGAAAUGCGUAGAUAUUAGGAGGAACACCAGUGGCGAAGGCGGCUUUCUGGACUGUAACUGACACUGAGGCACGAAAGCGUGGGGAGCAAACA
rnacentral:rRNA from 1 species